rnacentral:rRNA from 1 species
AACUUUAACAGAACCCUUCGGGGCGAAGAUAAAGUGGAUUAGCGGCGGACGGGUGAGUAACACGUGAGUAACCUGCCUUAGACAUUGGGAUAGCCUCGGGAAACCGGGAUUAAUACCAAAUAAAAUUAUAAUGACACAUGUCAUAACGAUCAAAACUCCGGUGGUCUAAGAUGGACUCGCGUCCCAUUAGCUAGUUGGUAGAGUAAAAGCCUACCAAGGCGACGAUGGGUAGCCGGCCUGAGAGGGUGAACGGCCACAUUGGAACUGAGAAACGGUCCAAACUCCUACGGGAGGCAGCAGUGGGGAAUAUUGCACAAUGGAGGGAACUCUGAUGCAGCGACGCCGCGUGAACGAAGAAGGCUUUCGAGUCGUAAAGUUCUUUUAUAUGGAAGAUAAUGACGGUACCAUAAGAAAAAGCCCCGGCUAA